AUUGUAGCUGUCUUUGCCUCAUUCUGUUCUCUCGAGGAUACUUGGACAGCAUCAGAUGCUUCUGGUUCCUUCUUUUCAUCCUCUGCAGCAACAACAACUUCUUUCUUGCCAUCUUCUACAACAAUCUUUUCUUCAACUUCAGGAGAAGGUUCCACCAGAUUUGCAGGGGUUGUCUGAACUUGUGCAGCAUUAACCGUUGUGUUAGGUUCAGUUUCCUCUUCUUUGAUGGUGCCAUUAGAUCCUUCAGUUUUUUCAGUUGCUUGCUCGGGCUCCACUUCCUUAAUAAUUUCCCCAACUUCCUCACCUACUUGUAAUUGUUCACUUAGCUUUUCCUCCACUCCAUUAGACAGAGG
rnacentral:lncRNA from 1 species